GACGAACGCUGGCGGCGUGCUUAACACAUGCAAGUCGAACGAUGAUGCACAGCUUGCUGGGUGGAUUAGUGGCGAACGGGUGAGUAACACGUGAGUAACCCGCCCCUGACUCUGGGAUAAGCGUUGGAAACGACGUCUAAUACUGGAUAUGACUGCCGGCCGCAUGGUCUGGUGGUGGAAAGAUUUUUUGGUUGGGGAUGGACUCGCGGCCUAUCAGCUUGUUGGUGAGGUAAUGGCUCACCAAGGCGACGACGGGUAGCCGGCCUGAGAGGGUGACCGGCCACACUGGGACUGAGACACGGGACAGACUCCUACGGGAGGCAGAAGUGGGGAAUAUUGCACAAUGGGCGAAAGCCUGAUGCAGCAACGCCGCGUGAGGGAUGACGGCCUUCGGGUUGUAAACCUCUUUUAGUAGGGAAGAAGCGAAAGUGACGGUACCUGCAGAAAAAGCACCGGCUAACUACGUGCCAGCAGCCGCAGUAA
rnacentral:rRNA from 1 species